rnacentral:lncRNA from 1 species
UAGUUCCAGUUCCAGUUCCAAUACUGGUUCCAGUUCCAUCCCAGUUCCAUCCCAGUGCCAUCCCAGUACCGAUACUGGUCCCGGUGCUGAUGCCAGUCC